AAAAUAAAAUUUGAUUUUAAAAAAAUUUAAUUUUUAAACUAGGAUUAGAUACCCUAUUAUUUUAAGCUUAAUGUUGGUAGUAAGUAAAAAUUAUGAAAUCAUAAAAUUUUGGCGGUAUUUUAAGCUUAUUAGAGGAAUUUGCUCUAUAAUGGAUACAACGCCUAUAUCUUACUUAAUUUUGUAAUUAAAGUCAGUUUGUAUACCACUAUAUUUAAUUAUAUUGAAUAAUUAUAUUUAAGAUUUUUAUAUAAAUAUAUAUUAAGUCAAGGUGCAACAAAUAAUUA
rnacentral:rRNA from 1 species